rnacentral:rRNA from 1 species
UGGGGGAAUUUUUGGACAAUGGGCGAAAGCCUGAUCCAGCAAUGCCGCGUGUGUGAAGAAGGCCUUCGGGUUGUAAAGCACUUUUGUCCGGAAAGAAAUCCUCUGGGUUAAUACCUCGGGGGGAUGACGGUACCGGAAGAAUAAGCACCGGCUAACUACGUGCCAGCAGCCGCGGUAAUACGUAGGGUGCAAGCGUUAAUCGGAAUUACUGGGCGUAAAGCGUGCGCAGGCGGUUUGCUAAGACCGAUGUGAAAUCCCCGGGCUCAACCUGGGAACUGCAUUGGUGACUGGGCAGGCUAGAGUAUGGCGGAGGGGGGUAGAAUUCCACGUGUAGCAGUGAAAGUGCGUAGAGAUGUGGAGGAAUACCGAUGGCGAAGGGCAGCCCCCCUGGGGCCAAUACUGACGCUCAUGCACGAAAGCGUGGGGGAGCAAA